rnacentral:rRNA from 1 species
GAUGAACGCUGGCGGCGUGCUUAACACAUGCAAGUCGAACGAAACACCUUAUUUGAUUUUCUUCGGAACUGAAGAUUUGGUGAUUGAGUGGCGGACGGGUGAGUAACGCGUGGGUAACCUGCCCUGUACAGGGGGAUAACAGUCAGAAAUGACUGCUAAUACCGCAUAAGACCACAGCACCGCAUGGUGCAGGGGUAAAAACUCCGGUGGUACAGGAUGGACCCGCGUCUGAUUAGCUGGUUGGUGAGGUAACGGCUCACCAAGGCGACGAUCAGUAGCCGGCUUGAGAGAGUGAACGGCCACAUUGGGACUGAGACACGGCCCAAACUCCUACGGGAGGCAGCAGUGGGGAAUAUUGCACAAUGGGGGAAACCCUGAUGCAGCGACGCCGCGUGAGUGAAGAAGUAUUUCGGUAUGUAAAGCUCUAUCAGCAGGGAAGAAAAUGACGGUAC